rnacentral:lncRNA from 1 species
AGAAAAAGGGGUGAAAAGAACAAAGUUUUGUCCAUCUUUGUUCAUCAUAGCUGAAAGUUAGAGAAGAGAAAGGAGAGGAGAAAGCUCUUGAGUAUUCGGUCAUUAGGAGGAGGAAAAUUGAAGGUAAGUUCUUGGUACCUUGCUUCUAUCUUGAUGUUCAUGAGUUCUUCUUGAUUUUACUUUAACUCUUGAAGCAUAUUUUGGUUUUUAGUUGUGUUGUGAGCAUUUAGUCAUGAAUUAAAAUGAAGGAAAUGGUUGUUGUUUCAUGUUCUUUUGAUGAAAAAUGGAAGAUAGGUGAAGUUGAGCCAAACAAAUGAGCAUGCAUGUGCCUUAGAUGCUAAGGGGAAAAAUCGGCUAACAUAUUGUGCUUUAAAAUGAUGAAAUGGAGAUUAUACUUAAGUAAAAUCAUAGAUAUGUGAUGAUUGGUUGGUGAUAUACAUGUUUAAAUAACAAGCAUGCAAGUUAGGUGUGAAAGAGUGAUUUGGUAAUAAAUCUGCUUGGGACAGCAGCAGUAACGUGACUUUGGAAAAUCACCAUAAAUUGUGGGAGAUGAAUUAGAAGCUGAAUAAAUUAUGUAAUUAAAGAUUGUUGAGUCUAGUUUCAAAUGAAAUAAACGAGAACAUAUUUUGAAUUCUGUACAAUGAGAAAUUUGAUUCGUAAUGAAGAGUGGUCAGAUUAGUCAAACAGUGAAACAAGGGAAACUUUAAGAAAAAUCUGGUAUUGAUUGGCCAAACCAAAAAUUCUGAAAAUUUUAUGGAUAUAAGAUAUAUGAGUCUAUUUUUAGGGAAAAUUAACGGAACUUGAUUUGGAGUUUCGUAGCUCCAGUUAUAAAUAAUUUAGUGACUGUUGCUCAGGAAGACAGCUUACAGUGAAAUUAUGAUUAUGUGGUAAACAUUGACAAAAAUUUGUUAAUGAGUUGCUUAUUGUUUUCUUAUAAGCUUACUAUGAUCUGUAGGUGUGGUUGGCCGAAUAUUGUAAGGGGUUAAUACGUAGUUCGUAUUUGAAUAGUUAGAUUAACGUGUUAGUAAUCCAAUUGUAGGUGGUUCGUGUGUGGAUCUCGUCAGCAUAUCGUCGCAAACAGGUGUGUAACUAACACCCUCUUUCUUAGUCUGGAUCGGCAAAAGUCGAAAUGCCGAAAUGCCGAAAACCGGUAUUUUAUAGAUUUCCGAGUGUACGAAUGCUCGUGAGGUAAAUCGAUUAAUGUUUUUGGUAAGCUGCAAAAUUUGGACUGCAAAGUGCAUGAUUUCUGUGCCCUCGAUAUUUUUGGGCUUAAUGGGCCAAAAUUGGAAUGAUGGGCCAACGGGCCCAAUUCGGUAAGAACCCUCGGUACAUGAUUCUGUUAGUACGUGAAAAGUAGGAAUAUGCAUGAAAAACCCUAAAAUAGAUAAAUUACUGAAAUACCUUUAAAAGUGGAAAAUUUACAGUUUUACUCAUAGUAGAUAAAUUACCGAAAUACCCCUAGGGUUAAAUUGACCUAAAUGCAUGUUUGACUGUUGUUAUUUACUGUAUGCCAUGUUGUUAUUAUCUGAUGCAUGGGAUUGGGAUAUUGACGGAGGAAGUACUGAAAGUGGCUUGUCCACAUACUGGAGGCUUUGCCUCAAUUUACUGUUAACUGAGCAGCAAUGCUGCAACUGUGGAGUGUUGGGCUGGGUGAGUUGAGCUAUUCCCCACAUGGAGUGUAUGGCUGGUACGGGUGGAGUGUAGUAGUUGGUGGGUUGAGUAGUCUCCCCAAAUGGGCUUGCAUAUGUUUAUUGAUGUUGCAUGUAUUUUGAAAUGGGCCUAUGGGCCAUACUGUUAUCUGAAUAAGGGGCUAAGGCCCAGUUUAUUGUAAUCUGAAAAGGGCUUUGGUCCAGUACCACUGUUACCUGAAUGGGCUUAGGCCCAAUAGGCUUGAGCUGACUUGGGCUUUGAAUGGGUUUUCCUUACACACUGAGUUUCCCCAAACUCACCCCUUUUAUUUUCAUCCACGCAGGAAAUCCCCAACCAUAGUGGGCUCGGAGCUGUGAGGGAAUUCGGAGUGGCCACCCGUUCUGAAAGUUUGAUUUUUUUCUAGUGAACUGGACAUCCUUUUAAUUACGUUUGAGGUUUUGGGCUUUUAAAUGUAAUAAGGCCG